UACGUAGGCAGCAAGCGUUGUUCGGAGUUACUGGGCGUAAAGAGUAUGUAGGCGGUGUCCUAAGUUCGGUGUGAAAUCUCCCGGCUCAACUGGGAGGGUGCGCCGAAGACUGGGAUGCUGGAGUCUCGGAGAGGAACGCGGAAUUCCUGGUGUAGCGAUGAAAUGCGUAGAUAUCAGGAGGAACACCAGUGGUGUAGACGGCGUUCUGGACGAGUACUGACGCUGAGAUACGAAAGCGUGGGGAGCAAACAGG
rnacentral:rRNA from 1 species